GACGAACGCUGGCGGCGUGCUUAACACAUGCAAGUCGAGCGGAAAGGCCUCCUUUGGGGGGUACUCGAGCGGCGAACGGGUGAGUAACACGUGAGUGAUCUGCCCCUCACUCUGGGAUAACUGCCUGAAAGGGUGGCUAAUACUGGAUAUUCCUGUGGUGCUGCAUGGUGCUGUGGGGAAAGCUUUUGUGGUGGGGGAUGUGCUCGCGGCCUAUCAGCUUGUUGGUGGGGUAAUGGCCUACCAAGGCUUUGACGGGUAGCCGGCCUGAGAGGGUGACCGGCCACACUGGGACUGAGACACGGCCCAGACUCCUACGGGAGGCAGCAGUGGGGAAUAUUGGACAAUGGGCGGAAGCCUGAUCCAGCAACGCCGCGUGAGGGAUGACGGCCUUCGGGUUGUAAACCUCUUUCAGCACAGACGAAGCUGUCCUCACGUGUGGGGGUGGUGACGGUAUGUGCAGAAGAAGCACCGGCCAACUACGUGCCAGCAGCCGCCGUAAAAC
rnacentral:rRNA from 1 species